rnacentral:miRNA from 1 species
UAGCAUAUGUGGAACUCUCAGU